AAAAAAUAAUUAAUACAAAACUUUAAAAGUUCAAACCUAAUUAUCAAUGCUCUACAAUUCAUACAACAAAAUCAUAGACUAUAUUAUAUCGACGAAUACUAAAAAAAUUACAUAGAAAGAAGAAGAUGAAGAAAAGUACAAUCAAACACUUGGUAUGCAAAUCUUAGACCCACUAUCAAUCACUUAUCACAUAAUCACAUAAUCCCAUGAUGCCUUUCUUUUUCUAAUCACCAAUAGUUCAAAUUCAACACUCCGAUUCCAUAUCUCUUGCCUUCAAAUUUCAUCAUUGUUACAAAUAAUUCUUUAUCCAGCUUCACUAUUAAUGAAUCUCAAAUUACUUACUCAUAUCAAUACAUGAAUCAAGCUGUGUGCGAUUAUUGUUCAAAUGAUUGUAUGCUCGCACGCAGCUCGCCAUAAGUCAUUGAAACGAAAAAAAUGAUAGCUAUUGCUUACAAAUAUUAGGGCAAACAUAAUUAAGAAAAAAAAGAACAAGAAAGAGAGAGCGAAAGUAAAGCUGGAAGAAGAAAUUGGCAC
rnacentral:lncRNA from 1 species